rnacentral:rRNA from 1 species
CGGACGGGUGAGUAACGCGUGGGUAAACCUGCCGUUANACNGGGGGAUAACACUUAGAAAUAGGUGCUAAUACCGCAUAAGCGCACAGCUUCGCAUGAAGUGGUGUGAAAAACUCCGGUGGUAUACGAUGGUUCCGCGUCUGAUUAGCUUGUUGGUGGGGUAAUGGCUCACCAAGGCGACGAUCAGUAGCCGGCCUGAGAGGGUGAACGGCCACAUUGGGACUGAGACACGGCCCAAACUCCUACGGAAGGCAGCAG